CAAGCGUUAUUCGGAAUUAUUGGGAGUAAAGGGCGCGUAGGCGGCUUUGCAAGUGCCGGGUGAAAUCCCUCGGCUUAACCGAGGAACUGCCUGUCAAACUGCAUGGCUUGAGACCGGGAGAGGUGAGUGGAAUUCCCAGUGUAGCGGUGAAAUGCGUAGAUAUCUGGAGGAACACCGGUGGCGAAGGCGGCAUCCUGGACCGAUACUGACGCUGAGGAGCGAAAGCCAGGGGAGCAAACGGG
rnacentral:rRNA from 1 species